AACGCGAAGAACCUUACCUGGCCUUGACAUGCAUCUCUAAGUUGGUGAAAGCCAGCGAGUCUCGAAAGAGACAAUUUGCACAGGUGCUGCAUGGCUGUCGUCAGCUCGUGUCGUGAGAUGUUGGGUUAAGUCCCGCAACGAGCGCAACCCUUGUGAACUGUUGCCACUCCCUUUGUUGGGAAGCACUCUGUUCAGACUGCCCUGUGAAACGGGGAGGAAGGUGAGGAUGACGUCAAGUCAGUAUGGCCCUUACGGCCAGGGCUGCACACGUACUACAAUGCCCAGUACAGAACGAUCCGAGACCGCGAGGUGGAGGAAAUCUAGUAAAACUGGGCCCAGUUCGGAUUGGAGUCUGCAACUCGACUCCAUGAAGCCGGAAUCGCUAGUAAUGGCGCAUCAGCUACGGCGCCGUGAAUACGUUCCCGGGCCUUGUACACACCGGCUAC
rnacentral:rRNA from 1 species